rnacentral:rRNA from 1 species
AAACUAACAAGGAUUCCCCUAGUAACGGCGAGUGAAGCGGGAAGAGCUCAAAUUUGAAAUCUGGCGCCCUUUGGACGUCCGAGUUGUAAUCUAUAGAAGUGUUUUCCGUGCUGGACCGUGUCCAAGUCCCUUGGAACAGGGUAUCAAAGAGGGUGACAAUCCCGUACUUGACACGACCACCAGUGCUCUGUGAUACACUCUCUACGAGUCGAGUUGUUUGGGAAUGCAGCUCUAAAUGGGUGGUAAAUUCCAUCUAAAGCUAAAUAUUGGCGAGAGACCGAUAGCGAACAAGUACCGUGAGGGAAAGAUGAAAAGCACUUUGGAAAGAGAGUUAAACAGUACGUGAAAUUGUUGAAAGGGAAACGAUUGAAGUCAGUCGUGUUCUUUGGAUUCAGCCAGUUCUGCUGGUGUAUUUCCUUUGAACGGGUCAACAUCAGUUUUGUUCGGUGGAUAAAGAUGGUUGGAAUGUAGCUUCCUCGGAAGUGUUAUAGCCUUCUAUCACAUACACUGGAGGAGACUGAGGACUGCAGCUCGCCUUUUGGCCGGGGUUCGCCCACGUUCGAGCUUAGGAUGUUGACAUAAUGGCUUUAAACGAC